GGUAGCAUGGCCGAGCGGUCUAAAAGGCGCUGGUUUAAGGCACCAGUCAUUUCGAUGGCGUGGGUUCGAAUCCCACUGCUGCCA
rnacentral:tRNA from 1 species